CUGAGCCUGGAGGAAGGACAGACAUCCCUUCUCUGUUCCAUGAGCCUGUCUCACCAGAGAAGCUCUAGGUCACCUGGGUUUUCCUAGAUAAUUAUGACAUCAUUUUCUUCCCAUUCAGCAUACUUUUUGAAGGCCUCUAUGUCUCUCUGAAUUUCUAUCAAGAAAUCCAUUUAUUUAAGCAGGAAUCUUCUAAGAACACUUUCUGUUAACCAUACAAAUGGUGUAGGAAUCUGGUGUUUUUGGAUGCAAAAUGUGCCGUGGAAGAACUCCAAAGUCACCUGGAAGACAGCACUGUAUGCAUACUCUGGUCCAAAAAGCAUCCAUGAAAGCUCCCUUGUCAGCAAGGGAUGCAGCAAGUCCCUAGGAGACAGGAGGAAAAGAGCAAACAAAGCCUUGGUAAGAGCAUUGAGAUGGAACCUGUACUUACAUUAACGCUCCUGUUACAAUUCAGUGAAGUUACAAGAAGCAGCAAGAAAUUACUGAUUAAAUCUCAAUGGGGAGAG